GUUGAAACAUCGGUUCCCAUACGAUCACGGAAGUUAAGCACGGACGAGCCUGGUCAGUACCUACAUGGGUUACCGCUUGGGAUUACCAGGUGCUGUAAG